ACACAUGCAGUCGAACGCUGAAGCCCGAAGCUUGCUUCGGGUGGAUGAGUGGCGAACGGGUGAGUAACACGUGAGUAACCUGCCCCUGAUUUCGGGAUAAGCCUGGGAAACCGGGUCUAAUACCGGAUACGACCACCUGACGCAUGUCGGGUGGUGGAAAGUUUUUCGAUCAGGGAUGGGCUCGCGGCCUAUCAGCUUGUUGGUGGGGUAAUGGCCCACCAAGGCGACGACGGGUAGCCGGCCUGAGAGGGCGACCGGCCACACUGGGACUGAGACACGGCCCAGACUCCUACGGGAGGCAGCAGUGGGGAAUAUUGCACAAUGGGGGAAACCCUGAUGCAGCGACGCAGCGUGCGGGAUGACGGCCUUCGGGUUGUAAACCGCUUUCAGCAGGGAAGAAGCGAAAGUGACGGUACCUGCAGAAGAAGUACCGGCUAACUACGUGCCAGCAGCCGCGGUAAUACGUAGGGUACGAGCGUUGUCCGGAAUUAUUGGGCGUAAAGAGCUCGUAGGUGGUUGGUCACGUCUGCUGUGGAAACGCAACGCUUAACGUUGCGCGUGCAGUGGGUACGGGCUGACUAGAGUGCAGUAGGGGAGUCUGGAAUUCCUGGUGUAGCGGUGAAAUGCGCAGAUAUCAGGAGGAACACCGGUGGCGAAGGCGGGGACUCUGGGCUGUAACUGACACUGAGGAGCGAAAACAUGGG
rnacentral:rRNA from 1 species